AUGCAAGUCGAACGCAUCCUUCGGGGUGAGUGGCGCACGGGUGAGUAACACGUGGGAAUGUAUCCUUUGGUUCGGAAUAACGUUUGGAAACGAACGCUAAUACCGGAUGUCCCCUGUGGGGGAAAGAUUUAUCGCCAAAGGAGCAGCCCGCGUCUGAUUAGGUAGUUGGUGGGGUAAAGGCCUACCAAGCCUACGAUCAGUAGCUGGUCUGAGAGGAUGAUCAGCCACACUGGGACUGAGACACGGCCCAGACUCCUACGGGAGGCAGCAGUGGGGAAUAUUGGACAAUGGGCGCAAGCCUGAUCCAGCCAUGCCGCGUGAGUGAUGAAGGCCUUCGGGUUGUAAAGCUCUUUCGCACACGACGAUGAUGACGGUAGUGUGAGAAGAAGCCCCGGCUAACUUCGUGCCAGCAGCCGCGGUAAUACGAAGGGGGCUAGCGUUGUUCGGAAUUACUGGGGCGUAAAGGGCGCGUAGGCGGUUUUUCAAGUCAGGCGUGAAAGCCCCGGGCUUAACCUGGGAACUGCGCUUGAGACUGUGAGACUAGAGUACCGGAGAG
rnacentral:rRNA from 1 species